rnacentral:rRNA from 1 species
AGUGAACGCUGGCGGUAGGCCUAACACAUGCAAGUCGAACGGCAGCACAGUAAGAGCUUGCUCUUACGGGUGGCGAGUGGCGGACGGGUGAGGAAUACAUCGGAAUCUACUUUUUCGUGGGGGAUAACGUAGGGAAACUUACGCUAAUACCGCAUACGACCUACGGGUGAAAGCAGGGGAUCUUCGGACCUUGCGCGUUUGAAUGAGCCGAUGUCGGAUUAGCUAGUUGGCGAGGUAAAGGCCCACCAAGGCGACGAUCCGUAGCUGGUCUGAGAGGAUGAUCAGCCACACUGGAACUGAGACACGGUCCAGACUCCUACGGGAGGCAGCAGUGGGGAAUAUUGGACAAUGGGCGCAAGCCUGAUCCAGCCAUACCGCGUGGGUGAAGAAGGCCUUCGGGUUGUAAAGCCCUUUUGUUGGGAAAGAAAAGCAGCAGGUUAAUACCCCGCUGUUCUGACGGUACCCAAAGAAUAAGCACCGGCUAACUUCGUG